UUGGUGUCCAUUGGUGAUUGGGUCCUGAAAGCAGAACGUCCCACAUGGAUACACUUGUCCCACUGCAAGCCUGUGGCGCCCUUUUCAUUCAACGACGAGUAGCGGUGGAAGUCCGGCUACAAAGGUGCAUGCCUCCACCUGGUCCCUGCUUUCAAUGCAGAGCACAAUGUCACGCCUCCUCGAGCAGUCACCUUAUUGUGGUGGAGGGGUUUGUGUGUCCCGAUGAUCCUAGGAGCUAACAUGUCUGGGGCUUCAUAACCCUGGUUGGGUCAACCAUGGCAAAAAGGUGAGGGACCAGACAAAGUAUGACUCCAAAACCGCUAUCACGAGUACAAAAGUUGGAUAUUGGUUUCUCUUGCUCGGAUGCAGGUCACCGGGUUCCCCCCUAUGGAGCCAGGCCCGGAGGUGGGGCUCAAAGGCAAGCGCCUGGUGGCCACGCCUGCAUCCAUGGGGCUCAGCCAACCACAGCUUGAAAGGGAAAGGGAAACAUGGGUCCCCCUUCCCAUGGUCUAACCACCUGUGAGAGGAGCCAAAGGGGUCAGGUGCGAUGUGACUUGGGCUGUGGCCAAAGGCGGGGACCUUGGCGAUCUAAUCACCGGCUACAGAAGCUAGCUCUAGAGACAUGGAACGUCACGUCACCUCUUUGGCAGGGAAGGAGCCCGAGUUGGUGCAUGAGGUCGAGAAGUUCCGACGAAAUGUAGUUUGACUCACCUCUACAUGCCGCUUGGGCUCUGGCAGCACUACUCUUGAGAAGGGUUGGACUCUGUUCCACUCUGGACUUGCCCAUGGUGUGAGACACCGAGCAGGUGUGGGUAUACUUAUUGCCGCCUGGCUUGGGGCCUGUACGUUGGGGUUUACCCCAGUGGAUGAGAGGUGUCUUUAUCCAGCUAACGACCUCAAUCAUUAAAAAAUUAUACUUUA